rnacentral:tRNA from 1 species
UAUAUAGUUUAAUAAAAACAUUACAUUUUCAUUGUAAAAAUAAAAAACUUUUUUUUAUAAAUA